rnacentral:rRNA from 1 species
UACGUAGGGGGCAAGCGUUGUCCGGAAUUAUUGGGCGUAAAGAGCGUGUAGGCGGCCCGGUAAGUCGGUUGUGAAAGUCAAGGGCUCAACCCUUGAAUGCCGACCGAUACUGUCGGGCUAGAGUCCGGAAGAGGCGAGUGGAAUUCCUGGUGUAGCGGUGAAAUGCGCAGAUAUCAGGAGGAACACCGAUGGCGAAGGCAGCUCGCUGGGACGGUACUGACGCUGAGACGCGAAAGCGUGGGGAGCAAACAGG